CCUACGGGUGGCUGCAGUGGGGAAUAUUGGACAAUGGGGGGAACCCUGAUCCAGCCAUGCCGCGUGUGUGAAGAAGGCCCUCGGGUUGUAAAGCACUUUCAGUGAGGAAGAACGCCUGGUGGUUAAUACCCAUCAGGAAAGACAUCACUCACAGAAGAAGCACCGGCUAACUCCGUGCCAGCAGCCGCGGUAAUACGGAGGGUGCGAGCGUUAAUCGGAAUUACUGGGCGUAAAGCGCGCGUAGGUGGCUUGAUAAGCCGGUUGUGAAAGCCCCGGGCUCAACCUGGGAACGGCAUCCGGAACUGUCAAGCUAGAGUGCAGGAGAGGAAGGUAGAAUUCCCGGUGUAGCGGUGAAAUGCGUAGAGAUCGGGAGGAAUACCAGUGGCGAAGGCGGCCUUCUGGACUGAAACUGACACUGAGGUGCGAAAGCGUGGGUAGCAAACAGGAUUAGAUACCCGUGUAGUC
rnacentral:rRNA from 1 species